CCUUGGAUUGUAAACCUCUUUUAUCAGGGAAGAAAAAAAUGACGGUACCUGAUGAAUAAGCAUCGGCUAACUCCGUGCCAGCAGCCGCGGUAAUACGGAGGAUGCAAGCGUUAUCCGGAAUUAUUGGGCGUAAAGCGUCCGUAGGUGGUUAUGCAAGUCUGCCGUUAAAGAAUGGAGCUUAACUCCAUAGGAGCGGUGGAAACUGCAAGACUAGAGUACAGUAGGGGUAGCAGGAAUUCCCAGUGUAGCGGUGAAAUGCGUAGAUCUUGGGAAGAACAUCGGUGGCGAAAGCGUGCUACUGGGCUGAAACUGACACUGAGGGACGAAAGCUAGGGUAGCGAAAGGGAUUAGAUACCCCUGUAGUCCUAGCCGUAAACGAUGGAUACUAGGCGUGGCUUGUAUCGACCCGAGCCGUGCCGAAGCUAACGCGUUAAGUAUCCCGCCUGGGGAGUACGCACGCAAGUGUGAAACUCAAAGGAAUUGACGGGGGCCCGCACAAGCGGUGGAGUAUGUGGUUUAAUUCGAUGCAACGCGAAGAACCUUACCAAGGCUUGACAUCCCUGGAAUCUUUGGGAAACCGAAGAGUGCCUUAGGGAGCCAGGAGACAGGUGGUGCAUGGCUGUCGUCAGCUCGUG
rnacentral:rRNA from 1 species